rnacentral:tRNA from 1 species
CGGAAUAUAGCGCAGUCCGGUAGCGCACCUGCCUUGGGAGCAGGGGGCCGCAGGUUCGAAUCCUGCUAUUCCGA